rnacentral:rRNA from 1 species
GAUGAACGCUAGCGACAGGCUUAACACAUGCAAGUCGAGGGGCAGCGAGGGCGUAGCAAUACGCCUGUCGGCGACCGGCGCACUGGUGAGUAACACGUAUGCGACCUGCCCCCUACAGGGGUAUAACCCGUAGAAAUGCGGACUAAUCCCCCAUAGUCCCGUUGGCUGCAUGGCCAUCGGGGGAAAGGGUUUCCGGUAGGGGAUGGGCAUGCGGCGCAUUAGCUAGUUGGCGGGGCAACGGCCCACCAAGGCGACGAUGCGUAGGGGUUCUGAGAGGAAGGUCCCCCACACUGGUACUGAGACACGGACCAGACUCCUACGGGAGGCAGCAGUGAGGAAUAUUGGUCAAUGGGCGCAGGCCUGAACCAGCCAAGUCGCGUGAGGGAAGACGGUCCUACGGAUUGUAAACCUCUUUUGUCGGGGAGUAACGUGCGGGACGCGUCCCGUAUUGAGAGUACCCGAAGAAAAAGCAUCGGCUAACUCCGUGCCAGCAGCCGCGGUAAUACGGAGGAUGCGAGCGUUAUCCGGAUUUAUUGGGUUUAAAGGGUGCGCAGGCGGCGCGCCAAGUCAGCGGUCAAAGUUCCGGGCUCAACCCGGUGUCGCCGUUGAAACUGGCGUGCUCGAGUGCGUGCGANGAAGGCGG